rnacentral:rRNA from 1 species
ACGGAGGGGGCGAGUGUUGUUCGGAAUUACUGGGCGUAAAGGGCGCGCAGGCGGCUUGGCAAGUCGAGUGUGAAAUCCCUUGGCUUAACUGAGGAAUGGCGCUCGAAACUACCUCGCUAGAGGGCGGGAGAGGGAAGUGGAACUCUCGGUGUAGGGGUGAAAUCUGUAGAUAUCGAGAGGAACACCGGUGGCGAAGGCGGCAUCCUGGACCAACACUGACACUGAGGAGCGAAAGCCAGAGGAGCAAACGGGA